GGUCUCUGCUAGUGAACCUGUCUAGCCCGCUGGCUUCACUUUCAUAAGAAAUGACACUAAUGAUUGCCGUAGAUGUCUUUUCCAGAAGAAAUAAAGUCAAACGCUGGUUGGAAGUAAAUUGGUCACUUGAAUACAGACAUAAUUCUGACAUUGUGUUUUCUGUAAAAGUUGUUAUUGGAUAUUGGCCCAGCAGUGUACAUGAAAAGAUUUGUUAGUAGGUCAAUUUCUCUCCCUGGUAUGACCACCAAGGCCUUAAGGUGGUCUUAUUCCAACCAGGUGCUUACAAUCCCACCAAAACUAAGAUUGAGAAUAUCCAACAGGCCAGUUCUAUGACCUGGCAUGUAGGGAGUGAUGAGCAAAUGUUUGUUGCUGGCAUGCCGUUACUGUUUGAUUUCUCGUUAAUUAGGUCAUGAAUCACUACAGCCAUGCUGAUUUCCAUAAUUGUCAUCCAAGACAAGAUCAUGAUUGCAUUGAUCAUUUAAAAGCAAGGUUUAAAGUUUGGAAGGUGGAACAGCAGCAUUUUCCAAAAGCUAUUUUUAUUACUUCUAUGUGUGAUUGCACAACACAUACAGGUUUUGUGUAUUUGAAAUUUGUUGUACCACUUGCUCUAAUCAGCAAAACCAAUAAUUUUGAGCUGCCAGCUACUUCAGUUUUGGUUUGCCCUCAUUACAGAAAAGUACAUUAAAAUGUGAUUAAGAAUGUCAGCCUUUACAUAUUCAUAUAUGUGGAUAAUUUGCUUUAGAGAUUCGGCAGAAUAGUAACUUGUGUAGUUUAUUAACAAUAUUGCAAGCUAUGAGCAUCUUGGAUUCCAUAUUAGACUUGUUUUAAUAUUUUUUCAAUAUUCCAUUUGGAUGGUUAAUGAUGCCAACACUAAAAAAUCCAAAAAGACACAUUGAAAAUGUAAGUCUUCUUUACCUGUCAAUGAUAAAAUAACCAGUAACACAUUCAGCAGCUGUAAUAAAAAAAACAAUGAAAAUCGAUCACAAACUACGGUAAACAAUCAACUAAAUAGUUGUAGACAUUCAUACAUUUGUAUGUUAAUGUAAUGUAGCUGUAGUUAAUGUUUUUUAAUCAUACUUUUGGCUUGUCAUUGCCAAUCUACAGUGAUUACAUUUUAGGUACGACGUUGCCGAAACCUAUUUCAUCAUCAAGAUGGCUCAAGAAAGAGAAUUUCUGAAAGAAUCUGUAAGCGACCUUCAGAACGUGAUACAUAGCUUAGAGAGUGACAAUUCGCCUUCUGAACAGCACCCUACAACUAGUAUCCACCGCAAACCAAUAAUUUCGUCAGGCUUGUAUUGUUGGUGUACUUACAGGCAAUCGGGAACAUCACGGACACCGGGAGCCGUUGAGUUUUUUAUUUAGGUUUUGGAUGUAGUAGCAGUAGCAAGCGCCAGAUUUCGCAGUUGUACCCACUUUUUUGCUCUGAUUGGCUCUCGCAGCCAUUGAAGAUACGAGUCCAACGCAUCAUGCAACGCAACCGGCAUCUAGUGUUUCGUGAAGAAAUCAUAAUUGAUCCGUGCAAGCAAUUAAUUAUGUCAUCAAUAUCUUCCUGUUGGCAAGUUUUUUAUUGUUUAUUAGUGUAAAUAUUGCAAUUUGUUUCUCUUAAUAUUGCAACCAACUAAUUUCCUUUAUUGCACAUGGAUUAACUUUUUUUAAACCUGCUAGAACAAACAUGAAUUAUUUGAACUUUUGAUUGAAACAGUCAGAUUUGCCUGUUUCAUUUAAAAGUUAAGACUGCCAAGUAAUGCUACUCUUUGACAACUUUUUGCCACUUUCCAAAAGAUGCUAUGGAACAAUUACAGGAAUGGUAUUCCAACAUUAGAAUUUUUCCUAUAAAUUGUAAUAGAUGAAAAUAAUAUUGGAGAAAGGAAAUCAGUGGACCAGGUGAAUCUGAGACCUGUGGACAUUCAUUUACUUGUUCAGAAGGUGUAAAAACAUUUGAGAUUAUGCAACUUUUAAGGAUUGAGUUUAGCCUAUUAUUGAUUUAUAUGAUAUGUGGCAUAUCCUAUGCGAACGAUGUCAUGAGAAGAAUAUGUGCUGUGAGAUGGUUGUCAUGGCAUAAUGAGUUUUCCGGUCAUUCGUUUUUGCGUACGUUCAGAUGGUUUCCAGCAAGAAGCAUCUUUAUCUGUCGAACUUAAAGUUCUCAAAUGCUCUUUACAUAUAUAUUUAUAUCUAUAUAUUUAUUUAUUUCUUUUUCUUUACUCUUGUUCAUACGGUGACAUUUUAUGAAGAGAUUCCGAUGGGGAAAAUCAAAUCAAGCCGUAUACUGGAAAAAUCAGCAACUCUCAAUCCAUUAGAUGACCGUCGGCUGCUUCGGUUUUGCCCGGCGUCGAUUUAUCAUGGUGACCAUAAUGGACAUUACUCUUACUGGACAUUUUCUGUUGAUUCACGAACUGUUAAGUUAAUCUGGGGCUUCUUCAUUCGGCUCCUGGUUGCGACUGGCAUCAGUGACUACAAUGUCUUCGUCCGGAUUCUCAGAAAGUUCUCCUGUCUGAGGUUCCUUAUUUGUCAUUAGACCAUCCAUUGUUAUACCCGGAUCACAGUGUAUGAACACAUCGCGUCCGGCUGCAGUGACCAGGGCGGGCUGAAAUUGGUGACAACACGUAUAUACCAGGAAUGGAGCUUAACGUUUUGCAUAGAUGAAGAACAGAAUAAGAAAGAAUCAAAACAAGUUCGUAAACAGCAAAAACUAAGCUCUGGAAGAAUUGGAUUGUUAACGAACUGUUUUCUUUCGUCUCGGAAUUUUAUAACCUUUUUUUUUUAUACUGGUGAUGUGUGUUUUGGUUAAAAAACUAAAUAGGAACUGCAUACAACUACAGCAAAAAGAUUGGAAAAACUUGCGUAAUAUACCAGGUCACCAAUAGGUGUCAGGGGUGUCUGGUGUCGCCACUUUUGUCGCCACUUUUGUCGCCACUUGUGUCGGUGAAAGAAAACGCAUCCCUUUUUGGCCGAAAAUGCGACGGGCCUGUUCCGGUUUAUCGAUGAAGACUGUGUUGAGUUGGAAGUUGGAACUGAGUUACUCAUCUCCACAAGGAAAGUACACACGAAAACCAUUGAUACUUAACAUCCAUCACAUUGAAAAAUCCUCGAAUGAAUUUUACUUUAUUCCGUGCUAGUUGACAGUUGAUACCAGAGAUUUGGGAACAACAAAGGUUACUGUUACACUGUUAAGUUUAGGAAACUUUUCAGCCACUUCUCUGGGAAUGUCGAUAGAAAUGGUAUACAGUAAAAUCAUGUUAAUGAUGAAACAAGAGGGCAUAGCCUGGAAGAGCUGCAACUGCUGUAGCUCAGAUGUCAGCAGAUUUGUAAAUCGGCUGUAUCUGCUGUGGGAAAUAAGACUACUGAGGUUGCAUAGAUGUUACUGAGAUGAGCUUCAUCUAAAUGCUGGCAAAGCUUAUCUGUCAAAUAGAAACAGAAUAAACAGGAAUAGGUUGAAAUUGAGCCCGAAAUACCCACAUUGUGAUGAAUUAUUGCAUAUUAACAUGCAGAUAACUGUAACAAGUGUGACUCUUGUUGAGAAAAGGAUUGAAACAAUAGCGGACGAAAAGGAAACUGCUUUAAAACCGGUUUUGAAUGACACCAGCUAUUCCGAUGACGAUGUUUGGGAACCGAGCAUUUGAAAAGAAAAAACCCGUAUUCCAGUUACUAAGCCUUCACGACAUUCGACAAACAAAAAGGAAAAGGCUAAAGUAAGACAUCGUCCCUUUGCUGCUUUGGGGGACCACCGUCGCCAAAAGAGAAUCACUUCAUCUAUAGAUUUGGUAGGUGAAAAGCCAAAUAGAUAAAUUUCUUGCACGGAGUAAGCAACAGGUAGGUCGUAUCUAGGUAGGUCGUGCAGGCAAAGAUAAAUAGUCAAAUUUAAUUAAAUAGCCUUCAUUUGUGCUGAAGAACCGUUCAUGGAAGCUGAUUUCGAUGAGACGCAAGUGCUGAUUCGUCUGAUGGUCGAUUAUGCCAACAUGGCAGCCAAGAAACAUGCCUUGCUCAAUCGGAUUGAAAUCGUGACAUCGGAAAAAGGAGUCUUCUUCUGGAAGAACUGUCCAGUCGCAACCAGUAUGUUGCCACGCUACUGCCUAUUCGCGCUGGAGAUUGCCGAACUUAAAGCUAUUGCGUAGCACUGAGCUAUUUAUUAGUUAUAGCUUUGGCAUUAUGAAGAGUGUUGUUCAUCUAUUUGUUCUUGUUUUUUUUUUCUUGCUGAGGUGUUGGAACAAGUAGUUACAUGGAGGUGGAGCAUCAAUUUGGGACUUGAUUUGUCACAUUUGCCGAUUUGGUAAAACAGGGAUUGGACCAACCAUUUUAUUCCCACACCUAUCAUUGGAAUUCUGGCAUGGUAGCUGCUGUUGCAGGACACUCUCGUUGGUUCGUUAGUGAGGUUCCAGAAAGCAGCAUUCCAAGAGCAAGAAUCUAAUUUACCGGCCAUCAACACAAUAUAGAUUAUUUAACUUAUUUUGCUUACAUUUGAUGGUGAAAUUAAAUUGUAUUGAAAUUUAGAAGUUUUUUAAGCUAUUUGCCUACUAGUGAGAAAGCAUAUGUGAAGAGUAGCUAAAAUGUAUCAACAGAGCAAAAUGCAAAACUUUGAUUGAA